rnacentral:rRNA from 1 species
UAGGGAAUCUUCGGCAAUGGACGAAAGUCUGACCGAGCAACGCCGCGUGAGUGAAGAAGGUUUUCGAAUCGUAAAACUCUGUUGGUAGAGAAGAACGUUGGUGAGAGUGGAAAGCUCCUCAAGUGACGGUAACUACCCAGAAAGGGACGGCUAACUACGUGCCAC